GCGAGUCUGUUCUUCGUCCUUAGCUCCGCAGCGGCGGCUAUGAGUGAGCCGAGAUGCAGUGCCGGACAGGACGGAACCUAGUGACAAUAACCCCGGCAGCGCAUCCGAAGCACGCUGUCCGCGCCGAAGGGGGUCGAGGCGCUCUUUCCUGAGAGCGAAGACUUGAGGGACCUUGGGCCGACUAUCAUCGAAUGCAGUCUCAGAAGUGGAAUUUGGAACUGACCACUUUCUUAGGGUUAAUUGCUGCAGGAUAUUUCACAGGAGAUCCAGUGGAUUAAAUUCACAUUUAUGGUUCACUGAAUCAUUUGUAGAUGCAUUAAUGAAUUAAUCUUAAUUAAAAAGCAUGUCAGCACAUUA